CCAAUAGCGUAUAUUAAAGUUGUUGCAGUUAAAAAGCUCGUAGUUGAAUUUCGGAAUCAGUACGCUGGUCGUGCCUUCGGUAUGUACUGGUGUCACUGAUUCCUCCCUUCUGACGAACCGUCAUGCUAUUAAUUUAGUGUGGCGGGAAAUCAGGACUGUUACUUUGAAAAAAUUAGAGUGUUUAAAGCAGGCUCACGCUUGAAUACAUUAGCAUGGAAUAAUGAAAUAGGACGUUGAUCUUAUUUUGUUGGUUUCUAGGAUUGACGUAAUGAUUAAUAGGGAUAGUUGGGGGCAUUAGUAUUCAAUUGUCAGAGGUGAAAUUCUUGGAUUUAUUGAAGACUAAAUACUGCGAAAGCAUUUGCCAAGGAUGUUUUCAUUAAUCAAGAACGAAAGUUAGGGGAUCGAAGACGAUCAGAUACCGUCGUAGUCUUAACCAUAAACUAUGCCGACUAGGGAUCGGAUGAUGUUAAUUUUUUAAUGACUCAUUCGGCGCCUUACG
rnacentral:rRNA from 1 species